GACGAACGCUAGCGGCGUGCUUAACACAUGCAAGUCGAACGGAAAGGCCCGGCUUGUGUGGGGUGCUCGAGUGGCGAACGUGUGUGUAACGCGUGAGUCACCUGCCCUUGACUUGGGGAUAACUUCAGGAAACUGGGGCUAAUACCGGAUAGGAGCACGAGCUCAAUGGCGGGGGUUGGAAAGUUUCGGGGGUUGAGGAUGGGAUUGCGUGCCAUGAGUAUGUUGGGGGGGAAACGGCUUACCAAGGCGACGAUGACUAGGGGACCUGAGAGGAUGACCCCCCACACUGGUACUGAGACACGGACCAGACUCAUACGGGAGGCAGCAGUAAGGAAUAUUGGUCAAUGGAGGGAACUCUGAACCAGCCAUGCCGCGGGCAGGAAGACAGCCCUCUGGGUCGUAAACUGCUUUUAUUCGGGAAUAAACCUUUCUACGUGUAGGAAGCUGAAUGUACCGAAGGAAUAAGGAUCGGCUAACUCCGUG
rnacentral:rRNA from 1 species